GCCUUCAUGGUGCAGUGGUCAGCACGCUCGGCAUGUAUUCGAGAGAUCCGCGGUUCGAGUCCCGGCGAGGGCA
rfam:Stegodyphus mimosarum contig99628, whole genome shotgun sequence.